rnacentral:rRNA from 1 species
AUGAACGCUGGCGGCGUGCCUAAUUCAUGCAAGUCGAGCGAACAGACGAGGAGCUUGCUCCUCUGACGUUAGCGGCGGACGGGUGAGUAACACGUGGAUAACCUACCUAUAAGACUGGGAUAACUUCGGGAAACCGGAGCUAAUACCGGAUAAUAUAUUGAACCGCCUGGUUCAAUAGUGAAAGACGGGUUUGCUGUCACUUAUAGAUGGAUCCGCGCCGCAUUAGCUAGUUGGUAAGGUAACGGCUUACCAAGGCAACGAUGCGUAGCCGACCUGAGAGGGUGAUCGGCCGCACUGGAACUGAGACACGGUCCAGACUCCUACGGGAGGCAGCAGUAGGGAAUCUUCCGCAAUGGGCGAAAGCCUGACGGAGCAACGCCGCGUGAGUGAUGAAGGUCUUCGGAUCGUAAAACUCUGUUAUUAGGGAAGAACAAAUGUGUAAGUAACUAUGCACGUCUUGACGGUACCUAAUCAGAAAGCCACGGCUAACUACGUG